rnacentral:misc_RNA from 1 species
UGCGUUAGGAGCAAGCUGAGAGCACAGGAUGAUCCUGUAUCACGGUAACCGUGACUGUAGAUUGGCCCGUCCAGGAUCCCGUGUCGAUCACGCUGAUAAAGGCAUCCGCCUAGGGAGUACGCACAAGGUCUAAUCUCAAAGAUAUUGACGGAGGCCCGCACAGGCGCGCAGCAUGCGUAUUAUAGAUGCAACGAGAAGAAUCUUUACGUGGUCUCGACAUGUCCCAGAUGAUCCCAGAUGAUGGGUUCUCCAUGCGGGGGCGUGCAUCACAGGUGCAUCAUGGUCGUCGUCAUCGUCGUAGUCGUGAUGAUUGUUGGGAUAUAGUCCGCAACGAGCACCACUCUUCGCCGCGUUGCUACCAGCAGGAUUAUCCGAGGACUCACGGGGGAACCGCGGGUGUUACUUAGGAGGAAGGUGGGGAUGACUUAUGAUCAUCAUCCCCAUGUCUUCCAGGUCUUCACAGCAUGCAACAAUGGCUGCAACAGCGGGAGGCAACACGAGGAGCAGGGGCGGAUCCAUAACAGCUGUCAUCAGUUCGGAUAGCAUUCUGCAAUUCGACGGGAUGAAGGAGUAGUUGUUAGUAAUGAAUAAUCACCAUCGUGGCGAUGAAGGUGUUCCGGGCCCUUCACCACACCCCCCGUCAAGUCAUAAAAGUGGGCACCACCAGAAGCCGGUGCCUUACCCCCUGGGGGGAGGCAGCCUUAUAAGAGGAGCUUGAUGAUGGGGAAUAAGUGGUAACAAGGUAGCCGUCCCGGAAGGGGCGGCUGGAUCUCCUCUUUUUUACGAAGAAUACGGCCGGAUGUUCUUCCGGCGGGGGGUCCCCCGGCGUCGCGGCAGUGGCGGCGUUUGGGGGCUGGUGUGGAGGAAAAGAUCAGGGGUUUUCGGUUCUUCCGUGGGGGGAUGUUCGGGGGGAGUGGGGGGGAGCCGCUUUGGGCCUCCCGGAUCGCCCCCCCAGCCUUCGGCCUGGCGCGAUUCGAUGCCCAUCGUGCAUGAUGGCGGGCUGGUCCCGUCCGGACGGCGUGGUGGUGCGUGGUGGCUUGAGAACUGGAUAGUGGACGCGAGCAAGACGGGGUUUCCUUUGAUUCCUCGUUCUUGCUGUUGAUUUAGAAUCGAACUAUAUUUUUAGUGUUUGUUUCGAUCGUUUUGUGAUCAUUUUAGUGUGAUGAUUUGUCGUCUGGGAAUUUGCUAGGAAGGAUCCUUGCGGCCAUGCGCACCCGUGUGGGCCCA